AAUGAACAUGAUAGUAUAUACUAUUCAUAACAAGAUUUUGUGUUAGAAAAGAAGCACCAACAAUUCCAAAUUCCUUUGCAACAUCUAAGCACCAAGGCAUGAAUGAAUCAUAAAUAAGACAAUCAACAUGGUCGUUUCUAGCAUUAAGGUUGUUAAUAAGAUGAGCAAGAGAUUGUGGACCAACUUGCCAAAAUUUAUUCAAAUACAAUUUAAAAUCCUUUGCUUCAGCAACUCCACCUUUGUCAAAACCAUCAGAAAUGGUCUCAAUCGUAAUGGAAUUAUUUGGCAAUUUAGGUAUGUUUUUGUAGUUGGAAAUGGUGGUGACAAGUGUUACUUUGACUCCUUCUUGUUGUUGUAAAAGCUUGGAGAAUUCUAACAUUGGAUUAGUGUGACCAUGUGCUGGAAAUGGCAACACCAAACAAUGAACACUCUUGGUGGAUAUGGUUUUAUUCUCCAUUUGUUUCACAAACUCUUGUGGGGUGAGAAGAUUAGGGCUUGAAGUGUUGAACUUGUGGUAACUAUAAGGCAUUAUAUUGUGCAUAUUUAUAUGACGACAACUUUGAAUCCUGCAUUUCUUUUAAAAAAGAAAUUUGACUUCUGCACUAAAUCUAUAUUGUUCAAUAACGAUCCAUUGGCUAUGGAAGUAACAAUUGCGUGAGUGCGUUUGCAACGAUUUUUAAUUCUAUAACUUUGAAACUUGUGUGUGUACCAGACAAACAUACGCGUUGCUACCUCCAAAAUAAAACGCGGUUUUUUACUUUUCCCGGCAUAAAAAAUCGAAAAUAAGAAGGCAAAUUCGUAAUGAUUCCAUGCUAAUGAUUAAAAAAUUGUUGGUUAACUUUCGAGUUGAUGUGAUAUAAUGGUAUAGAUUAAAGAAUCGACUUAAAAUAUGGUUUUAGUUAGUGAGUUAUACAACACAUGGCCUGAUUAGUUCUCAACAUUAGUCAGUUCUAUCUUGAAUUUGGAAAUAUCAUCGUCUAUAAUAUAUAGAAAAUAGAAUAAACUUUUUUUUUUUUUUUUUAAAUAAAAGUAAACUCUCAUUUUGAUCUUUAAAAUGUCAUUGUCAAAUUAAUUUCAGGAUUAAUUUAAAGGCAAUUUCUACGGUACACUCAACAAAAUUGAGUGCACCGGUACACCUACAUAUUAAAUUAAUAGUUUAAUGAGUUAUUUUUUUGAAAAAAACAUAUUUUCUAUCAGUUAUAAUUAUAAUAAUUAUAUUUUAUUUCUCAAAAGUGUCCGCAAAUCAAAAUUCAAUUUUUUUUUAUUUUUAUUACUCAUAAUAUAGUGAAUAUUGAUUAUUUUUUCGAUAAAAUUUUAAAAAAAUUGUAUGAUUUUUAAAAAGAAUGAAAUGAUGUUUUUUCUUAUGAAUAAUAUUUUCUAAAAUAUAAAAGUCAACAAAUAUCUCUUUAUUACAUAAAAAUAAUCAUUAACUUAUUGAUUUAUGAAAUAGAUGUACCGGUACAUCUUAAUUAUUUAAUUAUUUUAUAGAGUUUAGAGUCCACUUUGAUGAUUUAUGUGAUUUUUUAUGACUAUGUGAUGUGUUGAUAUUUUAUUUAAAGACUUGUUUUAUUAUUUACUAGAAUAAGAUUUGAAAAUAAAAUAAAUAUUGAGAUGUGGGGCUGUUUUGGAAUUUAGAAGAGUUUAGUGGAAAUAGAGGAAAUAAGAUAAAGUGGAUUGAGGAGAGAUAUAAGGAGGAAACUAGGUUUAGAAAAGUCUGCUUUUUGGAGAAAAAGGGAGAAAACAAGAGAAGAAGAGAACCAAGAGGGAGAGAGACCGCCGAUCAUCAAUACUAAGGUGAGGGUGGGACUAACCUUCAGUAAUUCUGAGUAUGUAAUUCUGAAACUGGAUUUAACAGGUUGUAGGUUGUAGUUUUGGGAAUUUGGUAAGGUAAGGGUUUGAAUUGCAAUUUGAUUGUUGGGAGAUUAUAAUUUGAGAGAAAUAACCUAGGGUAAAGUGAACCAUAGAAUUGAACGGUGAAAAGAGUGGUUAACCAGGUAGGGUAGUGAUGGAUUAACGUUUUAAUGAUAGGGUAAUCAUACGGUGAUGAUUAUGGACGAUUUUGGAGAGUUUAAGGUCAAGAAACGGAGCCAAGAAGGCUCCCAUGGUAGAAAAUCGCAGAAAAAUCUGUGAUUUCAGCAUGUAUGAUGUUGUCGAAAUCGUGACGCGAUCCCAGUGAUCGUGAGACGAUUUUGACAGAAAAUCUGUAAUUUCAGUAUGUUUGAUGCAUACCCUGUUUCAUGUUCUUGCGUCUUUUUCACACGUUUCUGUUUUGAAUUGACCUUUGGUGUAAACAUGAAAGUUUUAGAUAAUUGUGUUAGCUUUCUAGUGGUAUUGGUUUGACUUGAAAAUAAUUUUUGGUUUUUAAGAUAUGAUAAAAAUACUCCAAGGAGAUCUUAGUGAAAUCUUAUGAAAAUUCAGCAUAACCGUUUCUAAGAUAAUCCAAAACUUAUGGGAUAAUUCCAAACCUCAAAACUAGAAGUACUAUGAGUUCAAUUAAGGUGUUUAAGAGUAUUUAACCCAUGUUGUGAGUCGACCCUUGGGGUAGGAAUGAAUUUGUUAAUGAUUAUAAUGAGGUUCAGAGAGGAUGAAUAAGAUGAUUAAUAUUGAUGUUUUACUUUGAUGAUUAAAUGUGAAAAUAUUUAUAUAUUGUGAAAUACGUUGAUAUGAAGUUGUAAUUGUUAUAUAUGAUGAUUAUUAUUGAUGGUAACUUGCUGCAUAUGUUUAAAUGAUGUUGUCUUGUUGUUGUGAUGAAUUAAUACCAUUAAGAUGUCUAAGUUGUUAAGUUGUAAGAUGUUGAUCCAAAUUAUUGGAGUCAUAUGAGAUGUCUAAGUUGUUAAGUCGUAAGAUGUUGAGUCCAUUGCAUACUCAUUUAAGUUGAGGGCUUGAUGUCAUGUAAUGUAUAUUUUUACAUAUUAUGUUGAGGGCUUGAUGCCCUGUAGGGAUGGCAAUUGGACCCAAGCCCAGUGGGCACCUGCAAAAAAUACCCAUGAUGGGCGAGUAAAUACCCGCAUUGUUGGGUAUGGGCAUGGGCACGGGUAACUACCCACAAAUUUGAACGGGUAUGGGUGCGGGUACGGGCACUCUAGCACCCACCCCGCCCCCUGCCCGCACAUUAUAUAUACUAUACCAAUAAUUUUAUUUAUAUUAAAUUUAGUUAAUUAAUCUAAAGUAUUUGAUAUUUAUUGUAAUAUGCACUUAUUUUUUAUAUUUUAAAUGCUUUUAUUUGGCUAAAUAAUAUGAUGUGUGAUAUUUGAUAUGUUGAUUUAUAAUAUUUCAUAUUGUAUUUUAAGAUAUUUUUUAUUAUUUAUUAUCUUUUUGUUGUGAAAGUGCGGGUAAUGAGUUCGGGUACGGGUACUUAGAUACCCAUCGGGUAUGGGGACGGGCACCAAUCUUAUUGCCCACGAGGGUAUGGGCUCGAGUAUGGGGAUUUUUUUAAAACGCAGGUACGGGGAUGGGCACUAUGGUACCCUGUCUAAAGGAUACCCAUUGCCAUCCAUAAUGCCCUGUGAGCCUAUUUACGCUUAUAUGAUGAGGGCUUGAUGCCCUGUAAGUUGAGGGCUUGAUGUCCUGUGAGCCUAUUUACGCUUAUACGUUGAGGGCUUGAUGCCCUGGUUGGUACCACAUGCAUGAUUAAGAAGUUGAAGUUGCAUAUGUUGAGUUCAAGUUGUAAAAGUCGCAUUGUCGUUGUCGUUAAGUUGUCAUUUGUCAAUGAGUUGUUAAUAAAGAACUAAGUGAAGUAUUAAUAUUUAUUAAUCGUUGUUGUUUAUGUUAUUAUGAGAUGAUGAUUAUGUUGUGUUGAUUAUGUUGUUAUAAGAUGAUGAUUAUGUUGUGUUGUUUAUGUUAUUAUGAGAUGAUGAUUAUGUUGUGUUGAUUAUGUUGUUAUAAGAUGAUAAUUAUGUAAUGUUGUUUAUGUUAUAUGAGAUGAUGAUUAUGUUGUGUUGUUUAUGUUAUAAGAUGAUGUUUAAGAUGUGGUGAUUUAUGAUGUUAUAUGAUGAUGAUUAUGAUUUGAUUUAUGAUGCUAUGUGAUGAUGUAUAUAAUGCGAUGAAUAUGAAGUUAAUAAUGAUUAGGAGUUAAUUGAGUUAUUAAUGAAAUAUUAUAAGAAGAUUUAAUGUCAUUAAUUGAUGAAGUUUAAGUUGUUAAAUGUUUUUGAUGAAUUAUAUGCUUAUUAUUAUUGAAUGUGAAAUCUCACCCCUUCUGCUUGUAAAUGUUGCUCUUCGUAUGAGUAACUUGCAGGUGAUCGAGAAUAAGUAGUUGUUGAUUGUUGUCGUGAGUGGUUAUCCCUCACUGUGUCUUUAGGUGCUCUGAUACGUAACGAGAUGAGAACUUUGUUGCAUGUUUUUCUAUUCCUUACAUAUUACUUUAAGGAUAUUCAUGAAUAAGUUGUUGAUUUAACUCUAUGAGAUGUUUAUGAUGAGGCCUUCGUGCCAAAGACUAUUUUAGAUGUUGAAAUAAAUUCCGCUGCGAAAUAUUAAUUAUUAUGUUGUAGACUUUUGAAGGAAAAUUAGUUAAUUAUUCCAUUUAUGAUUUUAAGAAAGAAGUGUAGCAUUCCGUUUAAGGUGUUUUACUUUGAUUUUUAUGAGAAAUUUUCAAGUUGGGAAAAACGGGGGGUUACACUCUCUCUCUCUCUCUCUCUCUCUCUCUCCCUCUCUCUCUCAUCUCUCAUCCCCCCUCUCUCUAUCUAAUAAAAAAAUAAAAAAUUGUAUUGAGAAUAUUAUGAUAGAGAGUAUGGCGUAAUCAAUGUCCCGCAAAUCGUGUUAACUCUGAGGUAAACUCGGUUUCUAGUAAAAUCGGAAGGUUCAACGAGUUUGAUUGAGUUAACACUCGGUAAACUCGUGUAAACUCGAUCGAUUUGUAAUGGCUGACACAAUAUUUUUUUUUUGAAAGAUUUGUAAGUGCUGACAUAAUUUUAAAUAUGCACAAUUGAAUUUUGCGGGAUAACAUUUUUAACAAAUAAAAAAUGUGUAUUGAGAAUAAUGUGUUAGAGUGUUUUUCAGUCCCUUAAAAUCUUAUAAAAUCCAUAAAAUUUGAAAAUCAAUAGUAAAAGAAUUUUUUAUUGGUUUUAUUUUUCAUUAUUCAAACGCUAGAAUUUAUUUGUUCAUUAUUUCUAUUAUUCAUGCUUGUAAGUUUGUUCUUUUUCCCCUAAAAUUCAUUGAAUCCUUUGAAAUUUUAAAAUCACAUAAAAUCUUUUGAAAUCCUUAAAAGUCAAUGUGAUAAAUCCUUUAAAAUCUCACAGAAUCAAUACAAUCUCACACAGUCUUUUAAAAUCUUAAAGACUUUUUUUAUUAAAAUAGUCUUUUAAAAUCCUAAUUCAAUACACCCCCCUUAUUAGACUCUCGACUUAACAUAUACUCCAUCCGAUUCUAUUUAUAAGAAAAUUUUGACUUUUUAGAUUCAUUGAGAAAUUAAUGUAUUUGGUAUAGAAUAUAGACCAAAUACAUUAUUUAUAUAAUGAAUAAAAAAUAUCAAAUAUUUUUUAUAAAUAAGACCGAAAAAAUAUUAUACAUUAUUCUUACGGAUUGAGUUAAGCUCACGGGACUAAGAACUAUUCUCAAUUAGUGUCUUCCGUGAAUAUAGAUUGUUCUUAUCUUGUGUAAUUCCCAUUAAGUGGAGAACAAUAGGAUUCCAUCUUCCCUUCAACAAUUUGUUAAUUUAAAAAUCAAACACAUCUUUUCUUUUAAUUUUUAAAAGAAGCAACUCUUUCACCGUACCGCUGUAUAUGGAUUUUUUCAACCCUAUCCUUAUAUAGGCUAGUUUAUGUUAUAGAAAUGAGAUAAAUAUUGUUGUCAAAUUAAUUUUCACUAUUGUUUAUAUGUUUGAUAUCACAUAGGUUGUUAUGAUUUUGAUAUAUUUGUUAUGAUACCAAAGAUACAUUGUAUCAAUAAAUUUCGAACAUUAGUCAAACUUGAUAUUUUAUUUGCACAUUAUACAAAUAUUUUAUUUGUACAUAUUUUUUUUGAACGGAGCAAAGUUAACUUUAUCAUUAAUCAACCAAUGUUCAAUACAAGAAAGAUAAGAAUAAAAAAUAUGGUGACUAGCCCAAGAACAGACCACCUAAUUAAGGUAUGAGCAACCAUGUUCGCUUAUCUCCUAACAAACUUCACUUCAAAGUUGGAAUGUAAAGAUAACUGAUAAAUAAGACUAGAAACAAUAACAUAGAAUUCUGAAUCACCAUGACCCAGAGACGAUAGAGCAUGCACUCGAAGACAACCUGAUCCCAUCUGUUCGCAUUAGAAAAGUGAAGGGCCUCGAGUAAGGCUACUGCCUCCCUUCAAAACUGUCAUAUUUAUCCGCUGUCUUUUUUUUUUUAGCCCGAAUAAAUUAUUCGCGGCAGUCUCUAACACAACAUGCAAAAGAUGUAAUAUGACUACAGUCAUGAAAUGUAGCAUCCACAUUGCACUUCAAUCACGUUUCCCUCAAUUUUUUCCCAAGCUGAGCUGCAAGGUAUUUGUACAUGUUAAAAACAGAACCUUGCUAACUUAUGUCAUAUAUAUUUUUAGGACACAUAUCAAAGAUUUCAAAAAUAAAAUUUUGCAUUGAAAAUACACUAUUUAAUUUUGGAAAUGAUGUAUUCAACACAUUGAAAAUUUAAAAAGUAACUUUAUCUGCAUAAAACUUGUAAAUUAUUUCUAUAUUUGAAUCUUUAACUAGUGCCCUCUAAGGGCAUUGGUUAAUAAGACCUUAAUUUAAAAAGUUGAAUUCCUAAACACACUUCUAUGUCAAGCUCUUUAAUAUGUGCACAAUGGCACAUAUAGAGCCUCUUUGUUUUGGCUUUUUAGCAGCAAGAAACACUUCUACAAACCUCAAAAGUGGAAAUUGAGUUUUCAAUGUUGUUUGGUUUGCCUUUUUAGAAUUGCUUCUAUCCUCCAAAAACAAUUCUCCUUAAAGUUACAAUUCCUAGCUUUUGGCUUUCCAAGAAUCAAUUCUACAUUAAAUUUAAUAUUUUAAUUAUUACAACCUAUUAUUUUUCUUUAUUGCCCUUUAUCAAUUCUCCUUCUUUUUGUUUUGUAAUUAAUUUGAUAACCAAAUUUAAUCAGAAAACUUAACCAACCAAAUUAUCCCCCGAUAAAUGUUUAUGGUCAUGAGUUACCAAAUUUUGAAUUUUCUUUUACGGUGUCCCCAUUCAAAUUUACUGUAUUUUUUCUUUUACCUUUCUUUUACGCUAUAUUUUAUCAUUUUUUACAACUAAUUCUAGUAUUAUUUAACUUAAAUAUAUUUUAUCAAACAAUAUAAAAUAUAUGGACAAAUAUUUUGUAAAAAAAUUAGUUUAAUGAUAGUAUUUAUUAUGUUUUAAAUUAAUAUAUAGAAAAUCUAUUUAUUUAACUUAAAUAAUAUAUCUACAUUUACUUGAAUUAGCUAUGUCUAUUUUAGUAUUAUACAUUCAAAAGCAAUUUUGAUAAAAAUUAUCCAAAUAACAUUCAGAUUGUUUAAUCAAUUCUGCAUUAUUGUAUCCAAACAGAAAUCAUUUCUCUUAAAAUUAAUUUUGUCAGAAUCAAUUUUAUCAAAAUCAAUUAUGCCAGAAUCAAUUCUAUCUAAAACCGAAUCAAAACACACACAUAGACAUUUGUCAAAAGAUUUUUAUGUAAUCUUUAGUUUUUUCAUGUAAAAAGAUUUUAAUGUAGUCUUUAAUUCUUUUCAUUGAUGAACAUCUUUCCCUAGACUUAAAGGCAUUUAGUAUAGUUUUAGAUUUUCUUCAUUCGUCAUUUGUCAAACCAAAAAGCACACUCAUUUAUUCUUUUGAGAAAGUGAAGAUUUGUAUUUAAUGCUCAGCUUUAAAGUAACACCGAAACUGUAUUUUUCAAAAAGGAGAAAAGAAUUGAGUAAAGGAGUUCUUUGUGUAGUUUUUUUUUUUGACAAGUUAGUUAAGUUCAUGUAGGUUUGAUUUUGCUUUUAUAGGAUCAGAAUUACUUUUAGAGAUGUAAAAUCGAUUUUGACCUAUUUGGUUGUGUUAAAUAGAACUAUUCUGCAUUUAAUUUUUUUUUUUGUAGAUUUUGAUUUUAUAAUUGAUUUUUAUGUAUAAAUUUAUAAUUUAGUUCACUUUUAUAUAAUGCAUUGAAACAUAAAUCAUUUUUGUUCAAAAUUACUUUUAAUUAAAAUUAAUUAUAUUAAAAUCAGUUAUUCUAUCCACAAAACCAAACACAUGUUUCAUCUAAUCAAGUAGUUUAGUAGCUAAAAAUUCAUCUUUAAAGUGAAUAAACGAGAAUAUGAGGUUUGAACUCCGACCUCUGCAUACUGAAACGUUCUUCACAACUAAGCUAUGCUUAUAAGGAUAAAAAAAUCUUGGCUAAAUUGCACAUUUGAUCUCCUAAAUAAUUUAUGAGUUUCAUUUGAGUCUCUUAAUUAAUAAAAGUUAUAUUUUUGUCCUUUAAAUAUAUAUCAUUAGUCAAUUUAAUCCGUUAUAUUAACUUUAACCUAAAAUAUCUAAGAUGGACCAACAUUGUAAUUGAUCCUCCGUAAACCUUAUUAAUUUAUUUAAUUUUAACCCUUUAUUUAAUUUUAACCCUUUAAUUUUUUCUUUAUAAAAAAAGUGAUUGUUGGAUCAUAAGGUCUAUUAUAUCUUAGACAUGACCACCAUCAGAUGUUUAUUUUUUCCUUUUCUUCUUCGUCUUCUUCUUCUUGAUCUUCAUCUUUUUUUUAAGCAAAAAAAAAAAAAAGAUAAAUAAAAAGAAAGUACAAAAGUUGGGGGACAUGAACUUGACCAACAACUACGUAUACAUCCGUAAAUGGGCAUUACAACUAGUACUAACAAAAUAUGGUAAAGACGUACUAGAUCGAAAUCCAGUUUAAGGAAACCAAUUUAGCCAAAAACUUCUUUAUUUCUCAAAAUAAAUGAAAAAUAUCAUUUAGAGAGAGACACAAAAAAUACUCGUAAUAAAUGGGUCAUACAAUCAUUAAUAAUAAAUGGGCUCUAGUGGCAAGGAGCUCAUUUCAAGGGAAUACCAGGUUCGAUUUUCAGGGAGAACAACACUUGGCCAGUACGCAUGCCUCUACGCACGAGCCGGAUUAGUCGUCUACCUUUGACGGAUCGAAAAUUGAUGCGAAAACCAAAAGAAAAAAAAAGUUUAUGCGAGUUGGGUCAACAUUUAGAAUCUUUUUCAAAUUCCAAUCAAAAUCUUUGUUAAAUUGCUGAAUUCUAACCAACUAAAUCAUUCUACAUUGGUUAAUAAUGUUACAUUGACGUGAUAUUUAAUUGGAAGAAUAGUACUACGAGCAAUAUUCACUCUAAAACUCUCUUAAUAUUUUAAACACAAAUUAAAAAUCAAAAUGAAAAUUGAAAAACAAAUGAGACGAAGGUAGUACUCACAAUAGUUAUAAUUCAUUUGACUUUCUAAAGAAAGAUUCAAUCUACAGUCUACAAUAUUCAAACUCACAACAGCUUACUUAAAAAACAAGUCCUUUGUUACUUAAACAUAUAAACACCGUUACUUACUGUAUAUUGUAUCAUUAGGUUUAUUCCUUGUUAUUUAAAUGGACCACUACCAAACUUCUUUGUUUUUCAAAUCUAAAUAAUGUCAGAUAAAAAUUAAUUGUUUUUGUUGUCCACAUGAUCAAAGCAACACAUACUUGUACUAGAUUGUGAGACAAUAUUUUAUAACAAAUAAAUAUACCUACCUUGUAAAAUCUUCAAGAUUGUUGCCCUAGUCUUUGUUUUUGCUAAAAACCAAAGGAGGGAGAAUGUUGAAAAGUUUUUAAAAAUUUAAAAAGAACAAGAGAAAUAAAAGAGACAAUGAUUGGAGUAAAAUGACAUACACAUAACACAAACAGUACAAGCUUACAUUACAUAUAAGACUGUGAAAGAGAAGAAGCAAAUGUAGAAGAAUCUUAGCUGGAGGCAAACAUACACACUACCCUAAAUUUACUCUCCUUAUUCACAUCAUCAUAUUAUUAUUUUCAACCUUUUCACACACAUGCUCACUACCUUUUCAACACUAACAAGUAAAGUUGUACUAGCAACACUGUUGUUAACACACUCUCUCUUCCUUCUCUUAUGUAACUAAAAGCUCUUCCAAUAAUCUACUCCCAUUACCACUUCUCUCUUGAAACCUCUUUCACUUCACCAAACCCUAGCAAAAAACAACAACAAAAUGCAAACCUUGUUCUUGUUCUUGUCCUUUUUGUUUAUCAUCUUCUUAGAAGGAUCUCAUUCUCAUAACCAUUUUAUCUUUCUCAACAACAAUAGAAGAAUCCUUCAUGAACCAUUUGUGCCAUUGAACUCUCUCCCUCCAUCUGAACCACCACCACCCCUUCAUUCUCCACCUUCAACCAAAAACCCCAACCACCCAUUUUCCACCACUAUUCCCACAGAUAACAACCCAACUCAAGAUCAAAACCAAAACCAAAACCAAAACCAAAACCCAAACCAAGACCCAAACCAAAACCAAUCACCAUUUUUCCCAAACUACCCUCUUGCACCACCCCCACCACCACCUUCACUACUUGAAUUUGCUUCAUUUCCUGCUAACAUCUCCUCCCUAAUUCUUCCUCACACCCCCCAACCAACUACUCACUCUUCUAACAAACUCCUCCCUAUAGCACUCUCCGCUACUGCCGUCGCAGUCGUCGCUGUAACCAUCUCCGUCUUUCUUUACUUCCGACGACGUCUCCGUAACCGUCGUACUUCCACCGGCGACAAGACUCUAAGAUCCGACAGCACCGUUGAGCUUUUCUCGCGCAAUGCCGAACCUGUCGGAGGAAACACCUCCGAUUUUCUUUACCUCGGCACCGUUGUAAACUCGCGUGGAAUAGACGAAACUCCUCCUUCUCGCGGCGGUGCUUUGGUUUAUCGUAAACUUGAAUCUCCGGAGCUCCGGCCUCUUCCACCGUUAGCGCGGCUUCCCGAACCUCCAUCACCGCCGCGGCGUGGCGACAACUACUCCGACGAGGAAGAUGAGGAGUUUUACUCGCCGAGAGGCUCUUCUCUUGGUGGACGAGAAAGCUCCGGUGGUACCGAAUCAUCUUCCCGGCGAGCAUUCUCCGCCGUUGUCGUUAACAGAAGCAAUAAAUCAAGCUCAAUUUCAUGUUCUUCUUCUUCUUUUGGCUCGCCGGAGCAGUCUCAUUCGAGGAGUCUCUCACCGCCGGCGAGUUCUAGUCCCCGGAGAACACAACAAAAGUCACCAGAAACCUCACCAAGUCACAACCAACACGUGGAAUAUCGUUCUUCUUCUUCAUCGUUCUCUUCAUCACGCUCAACACCAGAGAGAGACUUUGAUGAAGAGAAAGAAAAUGCUUCUUUAUCCACAAAUGUACAUGCAUCAUUAGAAGAGAGAUUCAUGGUUAAAAAUGAAAAUGCUUCUUUAUCAGACCAAGCACAAAGACUAUCUAAUGUUUCAUCUUCAGCUUUUUCUCUUCCUUCUUCACCUGAGAAAAUGACGAAGAUGAUGUAUCAAGGUUUUGAUCAGUCUCCAAGAAUGUCAAGUGUUUCUGACGGUUCAAAGCUACCUGGUAUGUCAUCGGUGCCUCUGUCACCAGCCCUACUUUCCUCACCGGAAACCGAAAGAGGAGGGUUUAGCUGCAAUUCAAACCAAUGGGGAACAUUUUCUUCACAGAGGAAGCAUUGGGAGAUUCCGGUUAUAUCGAAGCAGACUGCUUCUCCACCACCGCCGCCUCCUCCUCUGCCGCAGCAGCGACAGAGGAGACAUUGGGAAAUGUCUAGAAGUUCGGCGAUUGUUUAUCAACCUCGGUCAAAUUUGAGGCCGCCGGAGUUAGCACCUCCUUCGAGGCCUUUUGUGUUGCAGAAUCAAAUGACAAAUGAGAGUGUGGGGGAAACUGAAGAGAGUUCGAAACCGAAAUUGAAGCCACUGCAUUGGGAUAAAGUGAGAACCAGCUCUGAGAGGGAAAUGGUGUGGGAUCAGAUGAAUUCUAUGUCUUUUAAGUAAGAUUUAUAAUUCUCAUUAAUUAAUAGUUUUGCCUAUCUUUUAUGUUGAUUACUUUCUUUUAGCCUUUUUGGUGUAUCUUAGAUAAUUUGGUGUUUUUCAUACUAAUUUUGAUAUAAAUCUUUGUCUGUAUGCUUCAUCAUUGUGGUUAUAAGUUGUGACUUGUGAGGGAUACUUAAGCUCUUGUUUGGGUAAACAGAUUAACUCCCUUUGUCGUAAGCUAUUCCCAUAAGCUCAAAUAGGCCGGUAAAUUGUCAAUUCUUGUGUAUAUUACUAUGUGCUGCAAUUGGUGUUCUUGAACUAAAUAAAUUGAAUUGUGUUGGUUGCAGAUUGAAUGAGGAAAUGAUUGAGACAUUGUUUGUAGUGAAAACAGCAAACCAAAAACCCAAGGAUGCUGCUCCACGAUCUGUUCUUCCCCUGCCAAAUCAGGAGGGCAGAGUACUUGAUCCAAAGAAGUCUCAAAAUAUUGCAAUCUUGCUCAAGGCUCUUAAUGUCACAAUAGAAGGAGUGUGUGAAGCACUUUUAGAAGGUAUUUUCUCAUUCCUGCAUUAGGAUUAUGGCUUUCAUUUUCUGUAGUUAUUGAGUAGGCACCUAGUUAAAUUGUAAUCCUUGCUCAUAAGGUACGGUGAUUAACUGUCUUCAAAUAUUUACCUUGGAGACUGGUAAUGCAACUAAAUUUACCUUUCCUCAGGUAGUAGUGAUACACUUGGAGCAGAGCUUCUUGAAAGCUUGUUAAAAAUGGCACCAAGCAAGGAAGAAGAGCGUAAAUUGAAGGAACAUAAAGAUGACUCACCGACCAAGCUUGAUGUUGCUGAGAAAUUUUUGAAGGCAUUGCUUGAUAUACCUUUUGCAUUUAAAAGGGUCGAAGCAAUGCUUUACAUGGUCAAUUUUCAAUCUGAAGUAGGCUAUCUUAGAAAAUCAUUUCAAACUCUAGAGGUAGUUUCUAAACCUUUCAAUUGUUUAUUCAUAAUCAUUUGUUGAAGAUAAGUAGAAUCUAAUAUUGUCCAAUCUCUUGUAUUAUUAAAUCGGCGCCUUUUCAGGUUGCGUGUGAAGAGCUACGAUAUUGUAGAAUGUUCUUGAAGCUUCUAGAAGCUGUACUUAAAACUGGGAACCGCAUGAAUAUUGGAACAAAUCGCGGUGAUGCGGAGGCUUUCAAACUUGAUACACUUCUCAAGUUGGCUGAUGUCAAAGGAGCAGAUGGGAAAACCACUCUACUACAUUUUGUCGUACAGGAAAUUAUUAGAACCGAAGGCGUUCGUCUCUCGGGUACUAAUCAAACUACAAGCUCUACUUUGACAGAAGAUGUCAAGUGUCGGAGGCUUGGCCUACAAGUUGUUUCUAAUCUGAGUUCAGACCUAUCAAAUGUAAAGAGAGCUGCUACUAUGGAUUCCGAAGUUCUCAGCAGUGAUGUCUUAAAACUUUCCAAAGGAACUACAAACUUAGCAGAGGUCGUGCAGUUAAUCGAAAAGGCGGGAUUUGAUGAAAGCAGUCAGAAAUUUACAGAAUCAAUGAACAACUUCAUUAGAAUGGCUGAGGAGGAAAUUGUGAAAAUUCAAGCAUACGAAAGUGUUGUUUUGACCCUUGUGAAAGAGACUACAGAAUAUUUUCAUGGGAACUUGGCAAAGGAAGAAGCUCAUCCAUUCAGAAUCUUCUUGGCUGUAAGAGAUUUUUUAGCUGUUCUUGACAGGGUCUGCAAAGAAGUUGGUAUGGUAAACGAGCGAACUACGGUUAGUUCAGCUAAUAAAUUCCCUGUUCCGGUUAAUCCAAUGCUUCCACAACCACUUCCUGGAUUACAUGGAAGGAAAGAUUGUAGUAACUCUUCAGAUGAUGAAUUUUCAUCACCUUAGCUAAAAGAUUUCUGUUUAUGUAGAUUAUGUUAUGUAGAGAAAAAGAGAGAGUAGAAUAUGUAUUGUAUGAUGUUGUUAUAGUAGCUUGUAAAUAGAGAUUUUCAAUUAGAGAGAACCUUUGCUUUCAAUUAAACUUAAAAAAAAAACAUAUUUCAGCUACAAUGCUGUUUUUGUAUAAAAAUGUAAUCUGCAUUAAUUAUUUGAUUAGUCCCAUACAUUAGAUUAUAUUCCUUGUGGAAUAGUACUUGCGUAGGUUUAAGAUGAAGUAAGCUUUUUGUCCCCAUUGAAAAACUCAUUUGUGUAUGAUACACAAAAAGUUUCACUUGUGCAUUCUAAAUGCCACUGUUUGGAUCGACAGUUGGAGGUAAAAAGUGAAUUUUGGUAUGGUGUACAAAUUUAGCAUUUCUGCAUGCUAAAUGCCACCUUUGGUACAAGAUUUUGUCAUUCAAAAUAGAAAAUAGACACAAUCUUUCAUUUCGAGGAGGAUGCAAUUGUUUUCUAUUUACAGUGCAAGGGGCUCGAGGUUUUUGUUCGAGGCUAACCUCGUGAUAAAAUGGGACCAACCAUUCUAUUUAUUAUUCAAUCAUAUAAUAAAUGUUGGUCAAAGUUCUUUUUCUGACAAAGUUGCUCAAAUCAUAUGUAUUUGGCACCUUAGCCUUGGAAGACUCAAAUGAAUGAGUGGUAUGAAAUCCAUUAUAAUCCACUUUUGUUUAGCGGCCAUUAGAUAAAAGAGUAGUCUUAUAUGAACAACAUGAGACAACUUAAUUUUUUUCCUUUUUCUUUUUAUUGAUCAAAAACAAUGAAGAGAGAAAAGGAAGAGGGGGAAUAAGAUAAUGUAAGUAUGAGAGAGAAAGUUGUCAAAAAGUUGGGAGAAAGUGUUUUGUACAAAUAUCAUUUCUCUAGAUAAAAAUCGUCUUGUACUAUAUACUACUCCUUCCGUUUCAAAAUGAGUGUCGCUUUAGUCAAUUUCGAACAGAUUUAAGAAUAGAAUGAAAUAAUUAUUAGAUAUAACACUUUUACUAAAUUGUCUUGUUUUAUAUGAAAAAGACAAACUUAGAGUUACACUGAAAAUUGUGUGAGAAAAAAGUUGGAGUAUUUAUUGAAGGUAAAGUUGAAAGAAAAAAAUAAAAGUUGUAUUGAAAAUGUAAAAUGAUAUUCAUUUUAAAAUAAUUUUUUUUGCUAAAGCGACACUCAUUUUAAAACGGAAGGAGUAUAAGCUUUUUUUCUUCGUAAAGUCACAUCAUAUUUCAUCUAAAUUAAUUGUGUGAUUUUUUUUAAUUUAAUGGUGAAAACUAAUUUAUGAAUUAUGUAAGAUUUUUCUCAUUUAUGCACUGAACAAUUGACAUAUAAAAUUAAUUUUUGGGAACUUUAUCUUGAAAAUUGUGCAUUCAACACAUUGAAAUAACAAAAAGUAACAUUUUAUAUCUAAAUUUCAUGAAUCUUUUCUAAUUUUGAAUCCUUAACAAGUGCCCUAAGAGUAUCCACAAUGGAGACCCUCAAAUUGAAGGUAUUAAGCAGGUCCUACUUGUACACAUCACUUUUUUAUUAUCUCAUAAUAACAAUACCUAAUAGGUACUCGGUCACUCCAAUGGAGAUCUUCUAACAUAAAGUUUAAAUGGGUCUCACCACUAACUCUUAAUAAUUUAAAUUCCACCACUAACAUAUUAUUUUAAUAAAAAAGUGUAUGGGGACCACUUAAAGAUGGAAUCUUAAGUUAGACGGAGUCUUAAGUUAGACCCCAUGUAUUAGAAGACCCCCAAAUUUUUUUCCCACAAUGGGAAUACCUAUUAGAUACUAGGUCUUAAAUAGUGAAAACCUAACCGUUGUAGAUACUUUAAGGACACUUGUUAACGACACCCUUAAUUUUUUAUAUCCAUCAUUCUUUCAAAAAUACUCACUAGACUUUUUUCAUGUUUCCAAUAUUUUACUCCCUAAAUUUUGGCCUGACACAUUUUGAGUUAAGCCGUACAUUAACUUCAACGGCUAUCGUUUUGUAUGGCCCAUCUAUUUAUCUUUUCCCUCAUUGUUGCAACCAAAUUUCCAAUGGUGGAUAAUAUGAAAUCCAAAAUUUUGCAAAGGUUAGAUAAGUCAAUGCAACAAGUUGAUCUUCAGGUUCCACAAUUGAAAACAUUUGUUUAAGCUCUAUGUGAUGAGAAAUUACUACUUCCAAAAUUUUAAUACAUAUAAUUAGUCCUUGCAAUUUCUUACUUGUAGAGAAAUUAACACCUAAGUGAAUACAAUAAUCGUAGAAUUAAUCUCUCUGGUAUGGUUAAAACAUGUUAUACUAGAUUGUAGAAACAUGUUAAAAUAAGUACUCUAACAUAUUGCAUAAACCUUGAGUAUGAGCAUCAUAAGGAUCACAAAGUAUGUAGUUAACGUACCUCUUACCCUGUAACAAUAGAAGUUGAUUGAAGGACUAACUUCAAUGGCGUGUUUUAAUUCGAAAGAUGUAUUUGCAAUCACAAAAUUGAGAAACCGAAAUGCCUGAGGAUAUGAAUUUCUUGUUCUUUUUGCACUAUCAGUGCACACAAUUCUAUACCAUUGAUUUAUGAUUCAAUUUCUAAUGUAGGACUCUAACCUCAAAUAAUUUGUAAAACUUGUCAUCUUAUAAUGACAUGGAACAGCAAGCCUUUAGCUAAACUGCAUGUAAAUAACGAUCCAGAUUAAGACUUCAACUAACAAUAUCCAAAAACACUUUUGUAUUACUUGAAUUGUUUAUUUAUUAUACACUUAACAAUUGCGGCACACACUAUCGAUAUUGAUGUUAUGUUUUGGACAAAAUUUAUUGAUUUUUUCACGUAAUCAUCAAAAUUGGUACACUCAAUGACUUUCUGAAGAAAUUAACAUAAUAUGAGUCAAGAAGUACUAUUUGAACGCCUAGAUUUCCUCAUGCUACUAACAAAUGCACAUCUCUAUGGUCACAACUCACAAAGCUGCUUGAUAACGGUUUAGUUACAUAAAUCAUAUUAAUAUCAGUAGAAGUAGAACACUAAAAUCAGGUUCAUAUAUAUGUUUCCUAAUGCUAGUAGAAAUAUAUGGCAAACUUGUGCCCUCAAAUUCAAUAACUGGACAUCAGAAUUAUUAUAUAAGAACACGUGUUUUUAGCUUCUGCUCAUAUAAUUGAAGUCCAAAGGUACACAUUUUAAUUAGUUUACCAGCUAAUUGCUGUUUCUCUUCUUUAUGUUCUGAAGAAUUCAUUCAAGUUGUCAGCAUCUAUACGCUCUAAUAUACGGCGCGCUUCUUCUUCUGUUGCCGGUACUACAUUUCGAAGUUUAAAUCCAUUUUUCAUAGCCUUUGCCUCUGGUCGUACAGUGAAAGUAAAAUGGAAAGUAUUUGAUACCUGUGUUCAAACAAUACACAAGAAUAGACGAAGCUGAGAACAGUUUUCAUUAACUAGAAAUUUUCAUAUCAAGAGCAGCCAUCAAGCUAAUGAAAUAUCAGAUGUCUAAUUGGCAGAUCAAUUAGACUAACCUCGCUAGAUCGCAGCUCAGGUCUUGUAACAUGAGCAACAACUUCAACAUUGAUAAGUGGCUGAUCUGGAUCGUGAAGUUCAGUGUACAAAACGCAGGAUUUGAGACGCAAGAAAUCACCCACAUCAACCUGUUUAGUAGUUAAUUUUAUUUAAGACAUACAGACAGGCGAAUCAGAUCCUCUCCCAUGGUGCACCAUACUUUUUUCAGUAAAAAGGGAAAAAACGGCAUAUAAUACACAAUCAUAUAACAGUCAAAUUUCGAUAUGUUUAAAAGAAUGAAGAAAAGACUCACAGGUCUGAGAAAAUCAACAUGAUCAACUUCUAGAAAGUAAGGAACUAAUCCAGCAAAGGCAUAAGCUGUUGAGAAAGCCAAUUCAAACGCACGAUUCAUCAAGAAACCUCCAAAUAUUCGACCAUGGAUGUUCCUUUGCUGUGGAUGGCAUAUUAAGGAGUUCUCAAGGCUGGUAUCCCUUAGAAGAAUGCUGUCUCGGUCGGCUAAGGCUGGCAUGUCACAGAAAAUUCUACCCUCGGCCAAUAGGUCUUUAAGUUUCUUUUCUUCCUCAUUCUCAUGGUCUUUCUUUUCUCCUCCUCUUUUCCUUUUUUUCAAAUUGUUCCUUGCUUCGGCUUGUUCAAAAAGAAGUUUUUCGCGAGCAGUUUCUGGCGAAAGUCGAUUCACUGGAGCAGCCUUCCCAGUUUUUGAGUCUCGAGCGACAAAUAUGAAGUUGGCUGUUAGUACUACCGAGUCUGAAUCACUGCCCUCUACAUGAGUUACAAUGACACAUAAGUUGUUGACCAAGAGUGACUUAAUAUUUUAGACUGUGCAACACUAACAAUUCAAAUUGAAGGCGUGUCUGGUGUCCGAAGCCGACAGGACACCGACAAAUGUGAUACUUUCAAUUAUUUCGAUUUUAUUUCAAUUUUCUUAGAUGAUUAUUGGAGUUAAUGUGUCAGUAUUGUGGCCAUGUCUGUGUUAGUGCAUUAUAGAUUGAUAAUAAAAUAAUGAAUAUCUAUUGAUAAUGCCAUUCAUGAAGGGCACUAUUCUGUCCUGAGAGGAAAAGAGAAAUUGAGAAACUAAACUAGUUUUAAGUUUGGACAUGUACAUUACUGAAAUUGUAAGAGUUAUGUGUGAGGCUGCGAGCCCUAAGAAAUGUACCUUGUUUGGAUUGAGUAACCUCGAGUUGAAUUUCUAUUGAGGAGCGCCCAACCCAUAUAACAGAACCAACUAUUGUGAGAUCAAUGUUAACACUAAUUGGCUUCUUUAGUACAAUCUUAUCAACAGAAGCAGUGACAAGUAUAAGUGGCCUUGUUGUGCUAUCUUCAUCAGAGCAGUGCUAUUCCACAAACAUAAAGAUAACAUAGUAAAAAAAUAGGUACAUGAAAUCUUUAUCAAAGUUCACAGUGAUCAUGUAACAUUCUGCUCCAAAUAACAGUAAAUUAUUCAAGUACCAUUCUGAAAAUUAAGAUGAAAGUUCAUGUCAAGACUUCAUGAAAAUAAGGCAUUGUUUGGAUAAACAACUUAAUUAAAGACUUGAUAAGAGAUCAUUUGAGCUGCAGAUCGUAAUGCUCCUAGAAAGGCAUAUUGCGAAUAUAGAGGAGUGAAAGUUCCCAACAACGAGUUGAUCAUACCCUUCUUUGAACCGUACGAGCACAUCCUCUGUAACCCCCCACCGUGCUUACGGCUCUAUACCCCAACCCAACUAGCUCUGGCCCCCGGUCCUCCCUUUCUAUUCCUCGGUAAGCGGACGUGGGAGCAUGAGGGGGGGGGGGGGGGGGGGGCGGUAUCCGCUUUAUAGCAGAAGUGCUUAUCAUAUAAGUGCCUAAGUAUAAGCUCUUUCUAUGACAUAAAAUAAAAUUAUGUUAAAUUGUUUUCAUAUCAGCUUUAAGCUGUUUUUAAGCCAUCCUACAGAGAUUAUGAAAAAAAGCUGAAAACAACUUAUCAAACUACAUGUGACCUGCUAGGCUUCUACUUUUAACCUAGUUUGAAGUUCAAUUUCAUCACAAUUUACAUCCCCACUUAAACACAUUAUCAUAUUAUAAGCCCUACCCACAUAUCAAUUCACAUAUUAAAAAUUGCAAAAAGAAAAAGGGAAUUUUGACAUGGCACCUUAACAGAAAUGGUUCCAGCCAAAGCAUCAAGAUCUUCAAGCAACUUUCCAAUCCUAACAUCAUUCCAAGGAUCCCUAUAUUGUUCCCUAAGAACAAAAUCAGAAGAAAAAUUAUACAGAAUACUGGUUCUACUCUGUGAAGGGGUUCUAGUAACCAAUUCACUUUGAGGAGGAGCAUCUCUUGGUGGAUCAAGAAGUCUCUCAAAGAUUUUGCCCCUUGCUUCCCAAAGAGCAGUUGUCACCGGAGAAUGAAACAUCCCCGGCCAUAAAGCGAUGGGUUUCCGGUCACCAGAGCCGGUGACCGGAAUAGGAUUUUCGAAUGUGGAUGAAACAGGGAUUGUUCCAUUCACAGGAAUUGUGAUGGUGGUGUUGUUGGAAGGAGAAACAUUCAAAUCCAUUGUUGUUCUAAAUGAUUCUAGUGUUUGUGUUGUGUGUGAUUUUGUUUUUUAAGGAAAUAGAAACGUAGAGUUUUGUGUCGUGUGGUGAUGUUGCUCUUAUUAUUAUUAGAUCAUCCAUUCCACACAAACCUAACAGCUAUUAAUAUGAUGAUGGGACAAAUUUAGUUACUACUGUACUGUUCCUACUUUUAUCCAAUGAAAACAUGACACAUGUAUAGUAUAUUUCAAUUCAACUCUUAAUAAGGUCAAAAUUUUGAGUAGUUUGUUGUGAGAGUGCGUAUUUGAUAUCACUGUAUCCGACUACUCCAUCCGGUCUCAAAUGUAAUCAAAUUUUCACUUUUUAGGUUAAUUUAAUAAAAGAGUAAAUAGUCAAUUUUUUUCCUGAAAUUGUAAGUUUAAUCAAUUACUCCCCUGAAAUUAACAAAACUUCAAUUAUCCCCCUGAAAUUUCACAACGUUAGUCAAUUUACCUCCUCCGUCAAAUUUUUCUGUUAGUGAACAUGACGUUUUGCAAAUACCCCCUGAAGUUUUGCACUUAUGUGCAAAAUGCCCCCCAAACUUAAAAAUUUAUAUUAUUUUUUUCUUAAAAACAAACAAUUAAUAGUUAAAUAUUAAAGCUAACUAUUAAUUUUGGAGUUUGGAAAAACUACAUACAUAUAUACAUCAAAAUAGGAAAAAAUGUGUAUUUUUAAAGUGACAAUAAUAGUUAUUUCUAAUAGACAAAUUAUUAUUUUUAGAGGUUUAUAAACAAAUUAAUAAUCAGAUUUAAAUUUAUAUUUUCUCCUUCACCAUCUUAGUCUUUUAACUCCUCCAACUCCUUCAACAAUUUGCUCAAACCAUUUAAACUACACAACCCCCAAUAUUAAUCCACAAAUCAUCCCAUUAUUGUAAAACUCAAUCAAUCAAUCAAUCAUCGAUCAAACUCUUAAAAAAAUCUAAUCAUCAUCCAUUAAUAAAAUAAAAAUACUUAAUCAGAGUAUAAAUUAAGGGUAGGCAUGACAACAAAACCCGUGUCCAUGAGUACCCGCUCAAACCAACCCCGAUUUGACGGGUUUUCUUCCGAUUUGACUGGGUUUGGGUAUGAGUUUGAGUUUUCCCUGAUUUCAAAAUACGGGUAUGGGACGAGUAACGUGGAUAUAUGUAUCUACCCCGAACUCAUGCCCAAACCUUACCCGAAUGUAGAAAGGUCAUAUUUUUGUUUUUGUUUAGGUGGUUGAUAAUGAUAUGCCAAGUUAUGUGGUUUGAUAACUAUCAUGAUAUAAGAACUUUCAUUGAUAGUUAAAGGAUCAACCAAAUUAUUCGAUAAGGAAAUGUUAAAAUGAGUGUAAAUUGUUGGAUAAUGCAUUACAACAUUACCAUUGAAGCUUAAAAAAACUCUUUUUUUACUAAAAAAAAUUGAUUCACUGCGGGGACGAGAAUGAGGGGGGAAUACCCGAACCCAUUGGGGACGGGGAUGAGAUUCAAUUUCUCAUCCCCGUUGAGUAUUGUUAGGGUAACAAGUAAGUAUAUGGGAGUAGGGGAUGGGGAUGAGGAAGACAAAACUCGUCCCCGCCCGCCCCAUUGCCAUGCCUAAUUAAGGGACGCAAAUCCUUCUCCAAUCUAAAACAAAAUAAAAAUGAUUAGACAACAAAAAUAAUAGACUUAAUAUUUUGUGAGUCAAUGAGAAGGGAGGAUCUAGACAUUUGAUACAUUUGGGGCUAAAAUAGUCCCUUAAUGUAUCAGAAUUUUUAAUUGUCCUUAAUUGUAUAUUUUGUUAAUCAAAAUAGUUUAUAACAUUAAAAUUUAAAAUACUUCGUUAACAUUGUCAUAUUAGUCCUUCAGUAUACUUAUUUAUUAUCAUUUUAGAGACUAUUUUAACUAAUAAAAUUUAAAAUCAGGGACUAUUUUAAAUUUAUAUUACAUUGAGAGACUAUUGUAACUAUUCGUUAUACAUUCAGGGACCAAAAUGACUAUUAUCCCUAUUUAUAAUUAAGAAAAUAGGAAAGUUGGAUGUGCGGCUUUAGCCACACAUAGUCAUUGAAUGGAUCCUUCCCUGGUCAAUGGACCCACAUUGAUCAAGCUAGUCACAAAUUCUAUAAUGUUUUUCUGAGAACUUCCAUGCUCCUCAAAAGCUCCAACUGCCAAAGUCUUCCAUUGUGUAGCAUUGCUCUUAAUCUCCUUGCCUUUCUCACCCUUCAUUAUUUCCAAUAUACAAUCCUUAAAUUUAUCUUGCCUCACAAUUUGUUUCUCAUCAAUAGGAGCUCUAAUUCCCAUCUUCCAAACAUCAGCAAUAAAUUUUGCAUUGGUUCUUUGGUCUGACCAUUGUGGUAUUGCAAUAGUUGGAACCCCUAAGCUUAAUGCUUCCAAUGUGGAGUUCCAUCCACAAUGUGUUACAAAACACCCUAUUGCCUCAUGAGCUAGAACCUUUAGCUGAGAGCACCAUGUCACUACUAAGCUUUUCUUUGACUCCUUUUCAAAAUCUUUUGGGAGCUUAUUCUCUUCAGAAGCUCUAACAACCCAUAAGAAGUAACUUCCACUAUCUCUUAAACCAUAAGCUAAUUCUUGUAUUUGCUCCUCAUCAAGACUUACCAUACUUCCAAAAGAAACAUAAACAACUGAUCCUUUUGGCUUAUCGUUUAGCCAUUCCAUGCAUUUUUCAUUAUACUUGAAUUGUGCAACACCAUAAUCUUCAUCGUCUUUAUGUCUAUUGUCUAAGAACAUUGAUGGUAUGGAUGGUCCUAUUGGCCUAAAUUUGGGCCAAAUCUUCAUUGUCCAAUCGACGACCUAUAAUUAUUUUGUAAACACGACAAUAAGAUAUCACAAACAACAAAUAAAGUUUGGUAAAAAAAUAACAAAUAAAGUUGGUUGACGAAUAACGAGAUUGAACCACAACUAAAAAACAAAAUAGUAUAUGUUAAUACUUCAAAAGAAAAAAUCAAUAUGUUUGCACAUACUCAAUCAAUCCUUGAUUAGCUUUGUCCAAGAAAACAAUAACAAAAUCUCUGAUUAGCUUUGUCAUUCAGAAGUUGUAUUAUUUUAUAAAAUAUGUAGACCAAGUAAACAUCGGAAUAUCCAUUUUUCAAAAGCUAAAUGCAUGUAUGGUUGUGAGUUGCGUUAUUUUUCGCAUCUCUAUACACUUUAAACAUGAUUUUACUAAAGCAACAAAUUUAAGAUUUCGAUCAAAUUUAUGGAAUGUACAUCUCUAAUUUUUAUACCUCUUUUUCCAACUCAUAAAAUGUAUUGCAUAGAACCCAAUCAGCUUUGUCAAUAUUAGAGAAUUGACCCACCAACAAAUCAAGCAAAACUGGAUUCUCUCCUUUUGUUGAGAAGAAUGAAGACAUGUCCCCCAAAUCCAAUCUAGGCAACAAAGGAAGUGAAAUCACAUCUUCAAUAAGGGGAACUUUCAAUUUUUCUAGAUGAACAUGAUAGUAAAUACUAUUCACUGACAUAUUUUGAGUGAGAUAAGUAACACCAACAAUUCCAAAUCUCUUAGCAACAUCAAGAGCCCAAGGAAAAAAUGAAUCAUAAAUAACACAAUCAACUUUGUCACCUAAAGAACCAAAUUUUUCAAUAAGUUGAGCAAGAGUUUUUGGUCCUACUUGCCAAAACCUACCCAAAUAGGCUUUGUAUCCCCCAGCUUCUUCAACACCACCAUUAUCAAAUCCAUCAGAAAUGGUUUCGAUUGUGAAGGAAGGUGGUACACUUUGCAAGGUCUUGCGGUGGUAAAGGGUGGUGACUAAAGUCACUCUUAUCCCUUCAUGUUGCAAAUCCUUAGAGAAUUGAAGCAUUGGAUUUAUGUGACCUUGUGCUGGAUAGGGUAACACCAAACAAUGCACUUUGUUGGUUAUGACUUUCUUCUCCAUUUUUUAUUGCUAAAAUAUUGUUUCCCUUCCUUUUGCUUGUGUGAUAUGAGGGAAAUGUGUCAACUUAUAUAAUACAUGGUGCUUCAAAAAGAUAAAAAUGUGCAGUAAAAUUUAUAUGAGGACUAUUGAUAUUUUUUUAGAGGAUGACAACUAUUGAUUUGUAUUCAUGUCAUUACCUAACUAAAUAUGUUUCCCAAAGGUCAAGUAUUUUAUUACCUAACUAAAUAUGUUUUCUAAGGGUCAAUCAUUGCGGAUUGGUUCAGGAUCAUGAUCAUUUGUUUUUUUUUUAAUGUUUUUUAUGGGCAAUUUUGGCUUUUAAUAUCUGGAUGGUUAGUUAGACAUCUCAAUGACUCUUCAAGGUUCCUUCUUUGAGCACUUUCUUCAGUUUGGAGGUCUUGGAGGUUUCUCCAAAAAAGUCUCGUCUAACUUUUAAUAUUAUUUGGAUUUAAACUUUUUUAACGAUUUGGAAGGACCAUAAUAUGAUACAUUUUUACAAUAAAUCAGAACAACUUCUAUCUUUAUUGGAAAAGGUAAAACACCAAGCAUUUUGGUGGUUUAAAUCUUAUUAUGCUGUUUUUGAUUGAGUAUUUGAUUUGAAGGUUAAAUCCUUUAUUAUGUUUUCAGGAUGUAACGUAAUUUUAUUUUUCUUGGCUACUUUGUCGUAACAUGUGGAUUGUCUCAUUGCAAUUUUUAGAUACUUUAACUUUCUUUGAUAUACCUUGUAUUAGAAGAGCUUGUGUUAGUUUUUAAGUAUAAUUUGUUAAGCUAGUUCAAAAAAGCUUUGUUAUAUUUUUUUUUUGUAUGCAAAGAAGCUCAAGGUAUUUUAUACUAAUGGAGGAAAUGCAAUCAAGAAUGUUAAUCAAAUCUGAUAAUCACUUUCAGCUCUAGAAUAGUUUAGGAAUUAAGACAAAUAUAGGAGAUUAUUGUUGCGUAUCUUAUAGAAUUAUUAAUAUUACCCAUCAAUUAAAUUCUCAAUUGUAAAUUAUCAAGAACAAUACACACACUAUUAUAAGAAAAAAACAAUUUUUUUAAUUUUUAAAUAAUUUAUGUCAAUUUUUUAUAUUAAAUAACUAAUAUAUAUGGUCUACAAUGGUUAUUAGAUAUAUCAGUUAUUCAAUAUAUAUAAAAAAUAGUUUCUUUUAUUCUUAUAACAGUGACAUGAUGGUGUAGCUAGAAAUUCACCCAUUAUAGUGUAUGCUAAAAAAAGAUAGUGUACAUUAAAAAAAACAAUAUGUCUCAAGUGAAUAUAAUUUAGUUGAUAGAAACAUUGCAAUAUACACUAGAUUUAAAAUCAAAUUUUUACAUUUAUUUACCUUAAUGAGUGAAUUUUUAAUUAUUAGGUUAUUAGAAAAAUAAACAAUAUAGUACUAGUCUUGUUUCGUAAAAGUAACUGUUGUGAAUUCAGAAUCAAAAUCACACCAAUAAACUUAGAAGUGUGGAGCAAAAGGAAAGUAGUAACCAAUAUCAAAGUAACCCUAAUUUAUACCUUUUACUCAAUCUCUCCAAUGAACAAGAUACUCAAUGAUUUUAACUCAUCUAAGGUGUUUACAAAUGUUUCUCAACCCAAGAGAACCUUUCAAGAGAACCCUUAUCAAAGACUCUAAAUCCUAAAGUUACCUCCUUUGAUUUCUUAAGUUUCUCUCUCCUGAACCCUUCCUCAAAACAUGAAGAAUGGACCCUUAUACAGAGUCCAAAUCCCAAGAAAUCGCCCUCUGAUUUUCUAAGAUCAUGCCCUGAUUUCCAAUUCGUAUAGUACUAUUAUUAUUAUUAGAUCAUCCACACAAACUUAACAUAUUUUAAUAUUAGAUUUUUUUUGUUGGACACAAGAAUUUGGAUCCUUUAUUUGGUAAAAAAAAAAAAAGUGAACAUGAUAUAAUCAUUUAAAAAUUAAUAAUUAUUUAAAUUUUUAUUAUCUUUUCUUUUUUAUGUGUGAUCAAACAGAGGGUCUAAAUCCUUAUGACCACCCAAAAAUUGCUCUUAAUAUUAAGGGACAGAUUUAGUUACCGUACCAAAUACUACAUUGUUCCUACUUUUAUCCAGUGAAAACGUUACACAUGUAUAAUAUAUUUCAAGUCAACUCAUAAUAAAGUCAAAAUUUUGAGGAAUUUGUUAUGAGAGUGUGUAUUUAACAUGAUAAUCACAAUGACCCAUCAUGUUAUUUUUAAGGGUUUUUUUGUCAUGUACUUUAAGGAUACUUGUUAAGAAUACAAAAAUGUAAAUAAUUGGUAAAUUUUAAGUAGAAAGAGUACUUCUAAAAAUUUCAAUGCAUUGAAUACAUCAUUUUCAAUUUUUUAAAAGUUAUGCUUUAUAGUUUAUACAAUUCUAUCGUAAUUCUGACAUACCAUCGCGAUAUCAAACAUAGACUAAGGUAAGGUAACAAAAUGAAUAGAUUGAAUGAAUUUGAGUAACAAUAGAUGAAGAUUCAAAACUAUUGAUGUUUCACUAAGCUUUUUUUUUUUUUUUUUUUCCCUGUGAUGUCCGAGGUUCGAACCAUAAAUCUUGCAUAUAUUAUAUAUUAUCCUUACCAACUGAGCUAAAUUCACGGGCACGGUCAACUUAGCUCUUUAAGAAAUCUAAUCAUUAUCCAUUAAUAUAAGAAAAAUACUCAAAGAGAAUACAAAUUAAGGUACGCAAAUCCUUCUACAAUCUCAAACAAAAUAAAUAUGAUUAGACAACAAAAAUACUAGAUUUAAUAAUCUGUGAGUCAAUGCACCACAUUAAUCAAGCUAGUCACAAAUUCUAUAAUGUUUUUCUGAGAACUUCCAUGCUCCCCAAAAGCUCCAACAGCCAAAGUCUUCCAUUGUGUAGCAUUGCUCUUAAUCUCCUUGCCUUUCUCACCCUCCAUUAUUUCCAUUAUACAAUCCUUAAAUUUAUCUUGUCUCACAAUUUGUUUCUCAUCAAUAGGAGCUCUAAUUCCCAUCUUCCAAACAUCAGCAAUAAAUUUUGCAUUGGUUCUUUGGUCUGACCAUUGUGGUAUUGCAAUAGUUGGAACCCCUAAGCUUAAUGCUUCCAAUGUGGAGUUCCAUCCACAAUGUGUUACAAAACACCCUAUUGCCUCAUGAGCUAGAACCUUUAGCUGAGAGCACCAUGUCACUACUAAGCUUUUCUUUGACUCCUUUUCAAAAUCUUUUGGGAGCUUAGUCUCUUCAGAAGCUCUAACAACCCAUAAGAAGUAACUUCCACUAUCUCUUAAACCAUAAGCUAAUUCUUGUAUUUGCUCCUCAUCAAGACUUACCAUACUUCCAAAAGAAACAUAAACAACUGAUCCUUUUGGCUUAUCAUUUAACCAUUCCAUGCAUUUUUCAUUAGUCUUGAAUUGUGCAGCGCCGUAAUCUUCAUCGUCUUUAAGUCUCUUGUCUAAGAACUUUGAUGGUAUGGAUGGUCCUAUGGUCAUAAAUUUGGGCCAAAUCUUUAUUGUCCAAUCGACGACCUACAAUUAUUUUGUAAUCACGACAAUCACAUGUCACAAAUAACAAAUAAAGUUUGAUAAAAAAAAAAAAAAACAAAUAAAGUGGGUUGACAAAUAAAGAGAUUGAUCCACAAAACAACUAAAAAACAAAAUAGAGAUAAAAAGUUCUCGUGAACAUUUGUAAAAUAUGUAAGGAGAAUGUUCGAACCCCUGACACCUUAUUUAUUCACUUAGCCAAUAAACUAAACAAAAAUAAGAAAUGAAGAUAAGAAUAAACACUCAAUAUUUCUAAGUAUCAAUCAUUCUUCUACUUGGUGUCUAAUUUGUAGUGUUAGUCUUUGAUGUUAGGGAUUAGUGGAACAAAUUCUUAUUUUAUUUUUUUUAAGGAAAAUUCUUAUAUAUUUUAGGAACAAGAAAAAUAUACUUUCAUCCGGUAUAAAAAGAAAGUUUUUUUUUUUUCUUCAUGAAUAAUGAAUAAGAGAAACGUGGGAAACGUGGGUACUUAAGAGAUUAAAAUAAAAAUGUACUGUAAAUAUAACUUAAAUAAAAAUUUACUGUAAAUAUAACAUAUAGAAAGAAGUGGAGUAUUGUUGUUCACACAUUUGGUUUGAUUGAGAAACACGAAUAAUUUACCCAAAUAUUCUUCAGAAGUUAACUGCCAAAAUUUUUAAGAACCGGCUGCAGUUAACUGCCGAGGAAUUUCAAACCUGAAAUUAAAUAAGGAAAUACACAUAAAUUUUCCCUUAAUUAAAUUUAAUUCUUUACUACAUGAUUCUUUUUAUAACGUUGUUGAUUUCAUUCAUAUAAUUUUGUUGCCAUAAGUUAAGAAAUAUGAGAUCCUAGAAUUACAUAUUCGAUCACGUUUCUUACUAGUAAUAGAAAAGAGGUUUUAUUUCUACAAAAAAAAGGAGGUUUUAUUAAUAGAAUAAUUACAAAUAUAAUCAAUUUGAAAGAGAGAUGAAUAAUAUCUAUAAUAUUAUAAAUUAAUAAUAGGUUAGUCAAACCUAUGAAUAAUGACAGACAUCAAUGAAAUUAAUUACAAAUAUAAUUAUUCUAUCAUUUAUAAUAUUUUUUGUUGUUGCAUUUUUUUUAUUGAAUCACCAUUUUAGGUCCAUUAAUUACCGAUGGCAAACAUUUUUAUUUUUUGUUGUUGCGUUUUUCAUGUUAAUUAAAGUAAUAAUAUCUGAAAUAUUAGUAUAAAGUAAUAAUAGGUUAGUCAAACCUAUGAAUAAUGACAGACAUCAAUGAAAUUAAUUACUAAUAAUUACAAAUAUAACUAUUCUAUCAUUUGUAACGUUUCUUUUGUUGCAUUUAUUUUUAUUGAAUCAUCAUUUUAGGUCCAUUAACUACCGAUUGCAGAUAUUAUUCAUCUCUCAUAUUUCUUCAUUUACGACAACAAAAUCAUAUGAAUGAAAUCAUAAAAAUAAUAAUUAUGUUUAAUUCCUUAAAAGGAUUAAAGAAUUAAAUUUAAUUAAGGAAAAUUUAGGUGUAUUUCCUUAUUUAAUUUCAGGUUUUCCUCGGCAGUUAACUGCAGCCGGUUCUUUAAAAUUUCGGCAGUUAACUGUCGAGGGGUAUUUGAGUAAUUUACUCGUGUUUCUUAGCCAAACCAAAUGUUUCAACAUCAAUACUCAAAGAAGUGACCGAAGAAAAUAUAGAGAAUUUAUCCUCAACUUGGUUUUAAAAAUCUUUGUUCGCUCCCACCAAUAAAAUGACUUGUGAAAUAUAUCCCGUGAUUUUUACUCCGUUGGUAGGAAUAUUGCAUAGGAGUUAGAUUUCGAACCUCGAAUUCCCCACUUUUCCACAUUAAAAUGUGUGAACUCUAGCCACUAGACUAUUUGAUUUUAAAAUUGUUUUUAAAUGCAACCAAAUCAAAUACUUCUACGUGUUAAUUUUUAAAAUUCAAAUUGGUAUGUAGAAUGCAGACCAAGUUAAUUUGGGAGUAGCCAUUUUUCAAAUGCUAAGUUCACUUUUGAUUGUGACAUAUACAACUUGUGAGUUGCGUUAUUUUUCAUAUCUCUAUACACUUUAAACGGUUCUUAGUCAGACUUUACGUGCAUCUUGAUUGAACUACGAUAUAUUAUGACACUCUUUUUUCGAGAAUCGGAAGGUUGACAAAAAAAAAAACCAUUUUUCUAAGCAACAAAUCGAAGAUUUCGAUCAAACUUAGGGUGAUAGCAUGGCUUAAUAAAUUUCUGAAAAUACAAAAGAUAAUUUUGAAGGAAAAAACAUGAAAAAAUAAAUAAAAAAUAAAGAGAGACGUUAGAUUUGUGUGUGCACCACCACAAAAAAAUAAAUAAAUUGUGUGUGCAUGUGAAAGGAGUCUAAUUUAUAUACCUCUUUUUCCAUCUCAUAAAAUGUAUUGCAUAGAAUCCAAUCAGCUUUGUCAAUAUUAGAGAAUUGACCCACCAACAAAUCAAGCAAAACUUGAUUCUCUCCUUUUGUUGAGAAGAAUGAAGGCAUGUCCCCAAGUUCAAUUCUAGGCAACAAAGGAAGUGAAAUCUCAUCUUCCAUAAGAGGAACUUUCAAUGUUCCUUGGUGAACAUGAUAGUAAAUACUAUUCACCAACAUAUUUUGAGUGAGAUAAGAAACACCAACAAUUCCAAAUCUCUUAGCAACAUCAAGAGCCCAAGGAAAAAAUGAAUUAUAAAUAACACAAUCAACUUUGUUACCUAAAGUACCAAAUUUUUCAAUAAGUUGAGCAAGAGUUUUUGGUCCUACUUGCCAAAACGUAUCCAAAUAGGCUUUGUGUCCCCCAGCUUCUUCAACACCACCAUUAUCAAAUCCAUCAGAAAUGGUUUCGAUUGUGAAGGAAGGUGGUACACUUUGCAAGGUCUUUCGGUGGUAACGGGUGGUCACUAAUGUCACUCUUACCCCUUCAUGUUGCAAAAGCUUGGAGAAUUGAAGCAUUGGAUUUAUGUGACCUUGUAAUGGAUAUGAUAACACCAAACAAUGAACUUUGUUGGCUAUGAUUUUCUUCUCCAUUUUUUUUAUCGAUGAAAAUGUUUUUUUGCCUCUCUUUUGCUUGUGUGAUAUGAUGGGAAUGUGUCAACUUAUAUAAUACAUAGUGCUUCGAAAAGAUAUCAAAAUGUGUAAUAAAAUUUAUAUGACAACUAUUGAUAUAUUUUUUUGAGAGGAUGGCAACUAUUGAUUUGUAUUAAUGUCAUUACCUAACUAAAUAUGUUUCCCAUCAAUACUAUUGAUAUGUUUCCUUUUUUUUUUUUUUUUUUGAGAGCAUGACAACUAUUUUUUUUGAUGCAAAGAAGCUCAAGGUAUUUUAUUAGAGCAAUGCUAUAUAUCAAGAAAAUUUUAAGAAUGACAUGGCAGAAUAAUCAUCCUUAGAUUUUAUCAAGAAAUAGUCCUGAAAUUAAUGUUAACCAAUAAAAUCUCAGUCUGGCCGGAAAUCAUGGGAUAGUGGGUGUUAUGUAUCUUUUUUUUAUGAAAGAUUAAUAAAUGAGACUGAAAUUUAAAGGUGAUUAUUGUGCCAUGUCAUUCUUGAAUUUUUCUUAUAAAAGCAUUCUUGAUAUCUAGCAUUUUCCAUUUUAUUAAUAUAAUGGAGGAAAUGCAAUAAAAAAAUGUUAAUAAAACUGAUAAUCACUUUUAGCUCUAGAGUAGUUUAAGAAUUAAGACAUAUAUAGGAGAUUAUUGUUGCGUAUCUUAUAGAAUUAUUAACAUUAACUACCAAUUAAAUCCUCAAUUGUAAAUUAUCAAUUUUCAGUGAUUCAGUUACGAGACAUUGUGAUUUGUGACAUACAAAAGUUGGAAUUUGAAUCCUGAUUUUCCUACUUAUUCGUCUUAAUGAGUGAAUUUCUAACUAUGAGACUAUGGGUGCGUUUGAUUUGUUAAAAAAUGAAGGACAAGACAGAACAAUUCUAGUUGUCCAAUGAUUGAUUUGUAAAACUGUUUUAGGUACAGGACAAACUGGUGGCAAGGGACAGGACAAAAACUCAUAUUUUUGUCCCUCACCAAACCACAACACAACUUUUUGUCCCAUAUACAAGUUGUAUAAAAUACCAAAAUAACAUUUUGUCCCCCAAAAAUCGUAUAAAACAAAAAAUUACUCAAUGCCAUAAAAAAAUUGUCCUGUGUUGUUCUGUCUUGUGUUGUACUGUUCUAUCUUGUACUGUUCUGUCAAGUACUUACUGUUUUGCAAACCAAACACACAUCAGACAAAAAAAAAUAUUGCACUUGUUUUGUUUCGCAAAGGGAACAAUAUGGUACUAUAUUGUGAUUAACAUUUUUAUUCUUAAUUUUGUCAAAAAAAGUUAUUCAUAAUUUGUACGAGAUUAUUUUUUUCAAGUAGUCUAACUGUUAAAAAUUCAUCGAGGUUGUCGAUUAGAAUCCAACUUCUUAUUGUUUGUGUGUUCGAAACCAUUCUAUCUCAAAACCGUGUUUAAUUUCCAGAUUAUUUUUAACCCUAUUAUAUGCAUGAAGUAUCUGUCGAUUUUGUCAGGUAUCCGUUUUCGACUAUAUCCAUGGUGAAAAAAAUAUUGAAACUUAAAACUUUAUUUCAAGGAUCCAAAUUUGGCUCAACAUGGGCAACAUCUCAUUCUAAUGUUAUAUUAUGACAUUAUUUUCUAAAAUGUUGUUUGAAUAAUUACAAAAUGAUACCCUCAAAAAGAAUAAUUACAAAAGUUUAAAUUGUCGAUGCAUACAUUCAUUAAUAAAGUUAUUUUUUUGACAAAUUCAUUAAAAAGUUUUAAUUUUAUUUAUUACUAUGAUAUUAAAAAGAAAUAAUAUUCUUUGCUUGUAUAAUUUUUUUUGUUGAACAAAUUUUUUUUUUUUGUUGAAUAACUUAUAUAUACUUAUUCGGUAGCUAUUAUUUUAAAUAAUGGAUAAAGGAAAAAAAAAUACUCUAAGUAAUUUUUUUAAAGGAAAAAUACUCUAAGUAAUUUUUUUUAAAGGAAAAAUACUCUAAGUAAUUAUUUAUAGGUUUCUUUAUUUAUUUCUAAAUACAUGGUUUUUUUUUUGGUGAAUAAAUACAUGGUAUAAUAUCAUAUUACCCGCUGCUUCCUUAAAAAAAAAAAUGCUAUACACGGUGCGCCAAAAAGAGUAGUAUUUUUAUACAUUUUCAUCUAAAACCGAAAAAGGAAUAAUUUUAUAUAUAUAUAUAUAUAUAUAUAUAUAUAUAUAUAUAUAUAUAUAUAUAUAUAUGAUUUGCUAACUUAGACUAACAAACAACAUAUAAAGAUCCAAAUUAGCAAAAGUACACCUUUUUAUUUGGACAAAAAUAUUUCAUCUUUAUUAUUUAAAACUAAUAGCUUGAGAAUUACUUGAGUAAUUUUCAUUAAAACAUAUUUGUUAACUUGUACAAAUUUGCUAACUUAGACCCGCUUUUUAUUUUAUAACAAAUAGUUUGAGAGAUAUUUACUAAACUAUCUCUUACUUUAAAUUGGUUUACACUUGCCCAAAUAAAUAGUUGCAUUUUUGUUAACUUGAAUCUUCAUGUUUUUUAUCGUCUACGUUAGCAAACACAUAUUAUAUAUAUUGGUCAGAUCAUCUCCACUUAGAGAGGUAAUGGACAUCUCUGAUCCAAAGCAUUAUUUAUUGGCACGUGAAAAAAUGAAAUCAACCGGAGAAAUUCGGUUUCUUUUAAUUCACUUAAUUUUUGGAAGAAAAUAAAAUUAAAGAGAUGAAGAAGAUAGAAAGUUUUGUUUUCUUUCAAAAAAAAGAUGGAGAGUUUUGUCUAAAGUGAAAGACGCCACCGCCAUCCUAAACUACCACAAAGCCUCAUACACGUUUUUAGUCCAUUUUCUGCUUUGCAACACAUGCAUCUUUCUAUGACAUUUCAUAACAAUGUCUAUUAGAGGAUCACACUUUCUUAUACCUAUUUAUUAGAGAUCCACAUUGAUACAUCACCACCAAUGCAUCUUCUACGCCAUCAAUGACGGUUCAUCAAGUUAAUAGAACACCAUUUUACAAUGAGCAGUGCUAGACGGUGCGAAUUGUUUUUCGCGUAAAAGGCACGACCGUGUAAUUGAUUAUUGAAUGCAUAAUCCAACCAACACGUGUGUUAAAGCAUUCUUGAUUAAAAAAUUAUGUUCAAAACCGUCAAAAAAAAUUUCGCGCUUGUUGCAUUUUAUCUUUUGCUUGACAGCAUAUUCAAAGUAAAACCAAACUCCAAUUACAAUCCUUAAACCAUAAGAACAAUUCUUAUCUCUUGCUUGAUUACAUAAACAAAGUACAAAGUCAUAACUUUUGCCAAUGUAUAAACAGACUUGAGCACAUUAUAGAUAAAUUCAUGGAUUAAAUAUGUUUUUAGUCCUUAUAAAAUUACAAAUUUUCAAGUUUAGUCUCUAUAAAACAUUUAUUCACUUUUAGUCCCUACUUACAUCUUAUAGACACUAUUUUCGAGGACUAAAAUUAUAAUUUUUUUGUCAAAAUUUUUUAAAAUAGGGACUAUUCUUACAAACUUCAAUAUUAUGGAAAACUAAAAUUACCAUUAAAAUUUUAUAGGAUCUAAAGUUGAAAACUCUUAAUUUUAUAGGAACUAAAAAAUAUUUAACACUAAAUUUAUUUUUAGUCCUUAUAAAAUUACAAACUUUCAAGUUUAGUCUCUAUAAAAAAUUUAUUCACUUCUAAUCCCUACUUACAUCUUAUAGACACUAUUUUGGAGGACUAAAAUUAUAAUUUUUUUGUCAAAAGUUUUUAAAAUAGGGACUAUUACUUCAAUAUUAUAGAAGACUAAAUAAAAUUAUAUAGGAACUAAGUUGAAAACUCUUAAUUUUAUUAGGACUAAAAAAUAUUUAACACUAAAUUUAUUGAUAUUUCUCAAUGCCAAAAUAUAGUUCAGUAUAGUUAAAGUAAUCAAAGAGCUGCACCAUAAAAUUAAAAAAAUAGUCAAAGGCUUGUUUAGUGUGAAUCAUAGUUAUUUGACUAGUUUGUGUGAUUCCCGCGAAUUAAUUGUCGUACCAAACAGCAUUUUGCUUUUACAAUUAGUUUAGUUAGUUAAAACGGUUUACUUGUAUUAUAAGCAGGGGCAGAGCCACCCCAGCUAGCCUGGGCACUAGCCCAGGCUCAGCUCCAAUUUUCUUUGUAGUAAGCUCAGCCAUUACUAGAACUUUUAACUUUUCCUGCGGAAUUUUAUGUAAAUUCCGCAGGAAACACAUUUCCUUCAGAUUUUGCCUAGGAUUUCCUGCAGAUUCCGCAGGAAAUGUGAAAUUAUUCGCAGGAAGGAAGCAACAUUUUGCGAUAAUUUUUUUCCCCAGAUUCUAAAAAAUUUCUGGCUCCGUCACUGAUUAUAAGUUACCUAGUUGUAAGCUACUUAAAUAAAUAGCUAUCUAAUAACCAACUUCAUUUUCUCAUGUCAUUGAUUCGAUAUAUGAAUUUUCUCUCUCAAUUCUCUUUGAUCUUGAUCUCAUAAUAUUGUCACCAAAGUUCAUGGUUAUUGUCCCACUACUUGCACCCUCAGAGUUAAAAAUUUUAAGGGGAUGUUUAUUUCAGUGACACACAAAUUAUUCUCAUGAAUAACUUAUUCGAGAAUGAAAAUAGGAAAAUUUGAUUUCAGUAUUUUUUUUAAAGUGUUUGACAAAUAUUUUGACAUUCUUGAAAAAAUUGGAAGUCACAAUAAAUAAUAAUAAAUUUAUGUUUAUUUUCAUGCCUACAAGCUUAAUGUUAAAAUAAAAAGAUAUAGUUGUAACCAAUAUAUAUAUAGUUUACAUAACAAUUAUUGUUGCAAAUAAAAGUUAUGUGCUCUUGUGCACUCCACAUCAUGCAUGUGUCAACAACAAAGAAAUGUUCAGUUGAUCAAGAAUUAAUUUGUGAUUGUCUGCUUGUAACUUGCAAAAUGAAACAAACUAUUCACAAAUUCAGUAAUAUUUUGAUGAGUACUUCCCCCAACACCAACAGCAUUUGAUGCCAAAUCCUUCAAUUUCAUGGCAUUGCUCUUGAUAGUUCUCCCUUUCUCACUGUCCAUUAUUUCCAAUAUACAUUUCUUCAUUUCAUCUCUUCUCACAAUUUGUUUCUCAUCAAUUGGAACCCUUAUUCCAAUUUUCCAAACAUCUUCAAUAAACUUUGCAUUGGUGGAUUGAUCUGACCAUUGUGGCAUUGCAACAAUUGGAACUCCUAAGCUAAUAGCUUCCAAUGUGGAAUUCCAACCACAAUGUGUUACAAAACACCCUAUAGAUUCAUGUGCUAGAACUUUUAAUUGGGAGCACCAUGUUACAACAAACCCUUUUUGUGUCUUUUUUUCAAAAUCUUUUCGGAGUUUCGGCUCUUCGGAUGGUUUAACAACCCAUAAGAAGUAACUUUCACAAUCUGUUAAAGCACAAGCUACUUCCUCUAAUUGUUCUUCAUUGAGUGAUGCCAAACUACCAAAAGAAGCAUAAACAACUGAUCCUUUUGGCUUAUCAUUUAGCCAUUCCAUACAUUCUUCUUCACUUUGGAAUUGUGUUGCACCAUAAUCUUCAUCAUUUUUAAUUCGCUUGUCUAAGAACUUGGAUGGUAUGGAAGGCCCUAUGGUUCUGAAGUUAGGCCAAAUCUUCAUUGACCAAUCAGCUCCCUACAAGAAAUUUUGAGUUGAAUAACCUAUCAAUUUGCUCCUUCAACUAUCACAUUCUCUAUAAUAUAAUUACAGUUCCUCAACUAUAAAAAUAUACUAAGUAGAAGUCCCUAAACUAUUAAUCCAUCAAAAUAGUCCUCUAGUUGCUCCUCAAGUAUAAAAAUAUACUAAGCGCAAAAUUCAUUGGAUCCAUUGUGUGUGUUCUGGUAGGGAUUAGGUGGUCUCAGGGGCCUGAGGAUUAGAGAAUUUAAUUUGUUAUUGUAGGUUGCAUGUUGAUCAAGGUGAAUUGUGGCAUAAAGUAUUGGACGCUUAAUAUGGGGUUGAUGAUGGUUAUAAAGAUUGAAUUUAAUGAUUUAUAGAAGAAAAAAAACUAGUUAAAACGGUUUAUCAUUUGAAACACCUUUAUAAUUAGAGAAGUGAUAUUCGUGAAAUGAUUUUGUAACAACUUUUAGAUAACUCUCUCUUAUACACUCAUAUGAUAUUUUUAUUCUCUCUUUAUUGUUUUUUAUCAAUAAAAAAUGAGAAAAAAAAGUUAUCAUCAUAUAAUUUUACAAAGAUUGUUUUUUAGACAUUUUCUAAAGAAAAUCUAUAACUAACAAAUGGAAGUUGAUAAAAGAUUUCUUUAAGGUUUUGUUUGGAUGCAUAAAGGAAAGAAUGCUUAAGGAAUGAAAGUAAGUGGAAAGAGAGUAGAAAGUAAGAUGGUUUUUUGGUUGUUUGGUAUUAGUGAUAGUGAAAAGAAAGUGCAAGGAAAGAAAGAUGAGAAUGUUUGUAAAAAGACAAAAAUAGCCAAAAAAAAUUAUAAUAAAAGUGGGACCAAAAUGAUGGAGUUGGAAAUAAAAAUUAUGGGUGUUUACAUCUUUUCAUUGUAAAACACCCUUUCAUCCCACUUUCUUCCUAAAAUAGAGUGAAUUGUUUUUGCACGUGGGGCCCACCAAAAAGUAUUUUUCUUUCCCUUCUCACACUUUAAUCCAAACUAUGGAAAGAAGCAAUAUCAGCUAUCUUUCUCUCCUCAUGCAAUAUUUCCUUAAUGUUUCUUUGAUACCAAACAGAUUGUAAAAGCUAAAUUACAAUUUUCGCCCAAAAACCUAUUCUUUAUUCAAUUGUAGUUCCUUAACUUUUUUUGGUUAGUCAUAUUACUCAUUUCCAUUGGAUUAAUAAACAUUACAUUACAUUGAUUAAUUCAUAUUAUGGCGUUAACAUCAACUGUUCUUUAUCGGUUAACAUGAAUUGUUUUUUUAGGAAUGUUUGCGAUGCGGUUUGGUUCGGUUUUAAAGGUAAAAGUCAUCCAAACUACAAGAUAAAAAAAUGUAAUUUGGUUUGAUUGAUUUUAAAAAUAAAAUCUGAAUCAAACCAAACAAAAUCAAUGUGGUUUGUGUUGGAUCAGUUGGUGCAGUUUUUUAAACGACACAAUUUUUUGUUUUCAACAUUAAAAAUCAAGUUAAAAAACUGGAACACAACAUAUUUUCAGCAAUGUUUUAAAUUUGAUCAAACAUUAGAAUUUAAAUUUUAUUUUACAAUGUUUCCAACAACAUAGACCAAAUUAAAAAUGCAGACAAAAAAUAAUCAUAUUUUGUGAGAAAUGCAAAACAUUAAGAUUUUAUCAUUCUCUAAAAGUUCGAGUAACACAUAAAUACGUUUUUAAAAUAAAAAGCAAAGAAAGAACUUAAGGAGAGAAAAAAUAUGUCAUUUUAUAAAUAUUUUCGUAGAGUUUUUAUGAGUAUUGGUGUAGGUGACAUAUGUUUAAUCAAUAUUUUUCUUAUGUUACGCGCUUUAGUUUGGUUUGGUUGGUAAAAUGAAAACCGCAAACCAAACCAAACCAUGUGGUUGAAUAAGAAAAUGAUUUGAUUACAUCCGAACCAAGUGCAGUUUUUUGCGGUUGUAGUUUCGGUUGGUUCGGUUUACGAUUUUUCUAUUGGGUUGGUUCGGUUUUGAACAUCCCUAAUUUUUCCCUUCUUUCUUUUCAACGAAAAUGACUAAUAUGAUUAACAAAAAGUUCAAGGACUAAAACGAAGUAAAAAAUAGUUAAACGAUCAAAGUAAAACCACAAAACAAGUUAAAUGACCGAAUGUAUGUAAUUUAGCUUUACGAAAAGUGAUUUUUUUUAACAUAAAUAGUUAGUACAAAAAGAAUAAAAAUGAGAGAUUAUUUAAGUUGUUUACCUCUUGGUGUAGCUCAUGGAAGGAAUUGCAAAGGAUCCAAUCAGCUUUACAAAUGUUAGAAAACUGACCCACUGCUAGCUCAAGAAACGUUGGAUCUUUUUCAUAAGUUAAUACAAAAGAAGGCAUGUCCCUAUGUUGUAGUUGAGGAAGCACUGGAAGUGAAAUCUCUUGCACAUCAAGGGGAACUCUCAAUUUUCCCACAAGAACAUGGUAGUAAAUACUAUUAACACUAACAUUUUGAGUGAGGAAAGAUACCCCAAAAAUUCCAAGUCUCUUAGCAACAUCAAGAGUCCAAGGAAAGAAUGCAUCAUAAAUAACACAAUCAAUAGGGUAACUUGUUCUACCAAGUUUGUCAAUAAGUUUUUCAAGAUUUUGUGGUCCUACUUGUGCAAAAUGAUCCAAAUAUUGCUUAAAACUCUUUGCUUCCCCGAUCCCGCCGAUGUCAAAUCCGUCGGAGAUGGUUUCGAGUGUGACGGAAGGUGGUAGGUUGUGCAAUUUUUUGCCAAAGAAAAGGGUUGUGACUAGUGUUACUAUUAUUCCUUCUUGUUGUAAAAGCUUGGAGAAUUGUAGCAUGGGAUUAAUGUGACCUUGAGCUGGAAAUGAUAAGACCAAACAAUGCACUUUGUUCUCCAUUUCAAUUUUUCAAUGAAAUUUACUCUUGUGUGAUGUUUACAAGAGGGGUUCAAUUUUAUUUUUUAGGGAGAAAAUGAAUCAAUUUAUUGAUCACAACUAAGGAAGGAGAAUUCAUGUGCGACAAAGAUUACGUGACAAAUAGUAAAAUAGGUUUAGACAUUUAAUUAACAUUUAAUUAAUAUUUAAAUAACUUCAAUAUUUUCAAGGCCGACCAAAAUUGGAUUCUUGUGAUAAGGAUAUCCCAAGGGUUAAUGUCACAAUGUCAUCGAUGGAGAAAUUUAAGAUGGAUACAUAUGUUUAAUACCACAGCCAAUACUUUAAAUAUUACUCCGAACAAUUUAAAAAAAGAAAUUUAUAAUUACUUUGAAAGUUAUAUUUAUGUUUUGAAGUAAUUCAUUAAUUUAGGUAUCAAUUUGAAGUCAGCUCAUUAGUGAAUUCAAUUUUUUGCAUGUUCACUUUAUAAAAAAAUUUGCAGAUUAAAAAAUGAAACCAAGUUGACUUGGUUGGAUUCACGAGAAACUCGCUAAACUUGGGUUAACUAAAAAAAUUAUAAACAAAAUUUUUGUAUAUUUUUUCAUCUUUUUUGUGAAAAAAACAAUAUUUUAUUCAUGUCAGUUUUCAUAUGUGAGUUUAAAUAUACCACCUUUAUGUCCUCGUGAGUUUAGCUUAGUUGGUAUGGACAAUGCAUAAUAUAUGCAAGGUUUUGAGUUCAAACCCCAACCACCACAAAAAAAAUAUACCACCUUUGUGUGAGUUUAUUCUACUGGAUGAACCGACAAAAAUCAUAAUCUAACUUUGAAACUUUUUUUUUUUGGUUACAUUUGAAACUUAUUUAAGAAUAGAUUUACAUGUAUUUUUUAUCCUCUAUUUAAAAAAAGCUUAAUUGUAUUUUUACCCCCUAUUUUUUUUUGUCGAUUGUGCGAUUUUGAACCCCCACCAUUUUAAAUGAGCGGUUUUGCACCAUCUUUUUUACCCUUUUUUGAUUUGAUGACCCCUCAUGUGUUUCAAUGCUGAUGGAGAUUUGUGAUGCGAAGCUAUGGGAGAAGAUGAGAAAUGGUUUAUAGAAUUAGAGAUUAUAAUUUUGAGGGUGUGGUGGGAAAUUAGUGUUCUCAUUUGAAGGGUCACAUGACUCCCUUUCCUUUAAAUAAUUUAUUUAAUUUUUUCUUUUUUAAAGUUUGAUUUACACACAUGAAUUUCAUUAAUUGAAGACACGUCAUCAAAAUAGGACACAUCAGCACUGAAACACAUGAGGGGGCAUUAAACUAGAAAAUGGGCAAAAGAGAGGGUGUAAAAUCGUUCAUUGCAAAUAAUGGGGUGCAAAAUUGCACAAUUGACAAAAGAUAAGAGACAAAAGUGCAAUUAAGCCUUUAAAAAAAUGAUGUCUUGAUCUCUCUAUUUUAAAAAUUGAUUUUUAAGUCACUUUUUUUUACUUUUUUUUUUCUUUGUGGAUUUUGAUUCAUCAUCUCAUAUUUGGAUCAUUUGACGUGACAACACUUAUUAAACUACAUAUAAAGUGUUGAGAAAUGAGUAUUGUAGGCUCAAACAUGCACCUCAACAUAUUGAACGUCCACCAUCAUAUCUUUGUGGUUGCAGGAUGUAAACAGAAAAAUAUUGUUAUUUAAUUUAGAGUAAUAACUUAGAAAAAAUUUAAAAUGAGUUAUUUUAAUUUUGAAAAUCAUUACAAAAUACUGAAACAUGGUUACUUGUCAACUAGUAUAAAAUAGGAAAUGUCCAUCCGAUCAAGAAUUAAUUUGUGGUUGGAACUUGGAACAAACUACUCACAAAUUCUAUCAUGUUUUUAUGAGAACUUCCAUCUUUACCAACCGCUCUUGCAGCCAAAGUCUUCCAUUGCAUGACAUUAUUCAUAAUCUCUUUGCCUUUCUCAUCAUAUCCAUUAUUUCACAUAUACAAUUCUUCAAUGUAUCUUUUCUCACUAUUUGUUUCUCAUCAAAUAAAGUUCUAAUUCCUACUUUCCAAACAUCUGCAACAAACUUUGCGUCAAUGCCUUGGUCUGAAUCAAGUGGCAUUGCAACAAUUGGAACUCCUAUACUCAAAGCUUCCAAUGUGGAAUUCCAACCACAAUGUGUUACAAAACACCCUAUUGCUUCAUGAGCUAGAACCUCUAACUGGGGGGCACCAUGUCACAACUAAGCCAUUCUCUGAUUUUUUUUUUCAAAGUCUUUUGGAAGCUUAGUCUCUUCAGAGGUUCUCACUAUCCAUAAAAAGUAACUUCCACAAUCUUUCAAACAAUACGCUACUUCCUUUAUUUGUUCCUCUUUGACUCUUGCCAUACUCCCAAAUGAAACAUAAACAACAGACCUUUUUGGCUUAUUAUUUAGCCAAUCUAGACAUUCAUCACUUUUUAACUGUGCAACACCAUAAUCUUCAUCAUCUUUAAUUUGCUUAUCUAAAAAUGUAUUUGGUAGGCAAGGCCCUAUGGUCCUAAAGUUGGACCAAGUCUUCAUUGUCCAAACAGCUACCUACAAAGCAUUAAGAGUCAUUAAUGACUAACCUUUACAAAAGCAACACACAAGUGGCGAUUCAAUUGGUAAAUGCUUAAGUUGUCUUUAGCUAGGAUAUUUUUACACACAAAUUUCUACAACAUUUUACUCCUGGUUAGCACAAUUUAAAUAUAUGAUAAAUACAAAUCGUUAUAAUUAAUACAUUAUAUAUAUGUGUGUGAACACAUUAUGUGUUAGACAUGAAAAUAGAUAAUGAUUAAUGAAGUUCAAAAUUAAGGUUCUUUACAUUCAGGGUUGAUGGACAAUGAGUUCAAAAUAAAUAGGGCGAUCACAAUUAAGUUGGCACUUUGUGAUCGCUAUCAAGAGCAUCCAUAAUAGGGGAGUCUUAAACAUUUUAAGACUUGGUACCUAUUAGGUAUCCUCAUUGGAGAGAAAAAUUGUUGGGGUCUUAUGUUGGGGUCUUAUAAGAUCCGGGGUCUUACUUAAGACCUUCAAUCUUAAGUGGGGCUUACACAUUUUUAAUAUUAAAAAUUGAAAUGUACAUAUGAAGUCUACACUUUUUCAAUAAGUUUAUACCAUUAAGAAAUUUUUGUGAGAUCUGGGUUGGAGGAAUUGAGUACUUAUUGGGUACUACUAUUAAAAAAUUAUAAAUGAGUGAUAUAUACACGUAAGACCCAUUUAAAUACCAAAAUAUGAGGAUUUCUGCUCUUCCCCCUGCACAAAACACUCGCGCCCUGCAGCCAUUCCAAAAAUGCCCCUGCGCAAGUUAACUAACGCAAGUGUAAAAAAAACGGGACUUAGUUUUUACACAUGCAUGACUUAAGUCACGCCGCGUGAGUUAACUCACACCGAAAAUUAACACCUGCAUGAGUUAACUCACGUUUGGUUUCAAAAUUUCAAAAGUGGAAUUAACAUUCUGUGUAUGUUGGAAGCAGCCAAGCAAGGCACAUAUGGGAGCCAAAGUGAAGUGAGGGAGAAUAAUAUUUGUGUAAGUAGUAAGUACCAUUCCAAUACUGACAUGAUAUCUCCAAAACAUUCACCACGUUUCUGUUAAAAAAUGCAUCAUUACUUUCCAACCAAUAUGCCAAACCUUUCUUAGCCAAAUUCUUACUUACCUCUUUCUCUAGCUCAAAGAAGGAAUUACAAAGGAUCCAAUCAGCUUUGUGAAUAUUAGAGAACUGAGCCACUACUAAAUCAAGAAAAGUUGGAUCUUCUUCAUAUGUAAAGUAGAAACAAGGCAUGUCCCUAUGCUGUAAUUGAGGAAGUGCAGGAAGAGAAAUCUCUUGCUCAGCAAAGGGAGGUUUCAACUUUCCCAAAUGAACAUGAUAGUAUAUACUAUUCAUAGCAAGAUUUUGAGUUAGAAAAGAAGCACCAACAAUUCCAAAUUUCUUUGCAACAUCUAAGCACCAAGGCAUGAAUGAAUCAUAAAUAAGACAAUCAACAUGGUCGUUUCUAGCAUUAAGGUUGUUAAUAAGAUGAGCAAGAGAUUGUGGACCAACUUGCCAAAAUUUAUUCAAAUAAAUUAUAAAAUCCUUUGCUUC
rnacentral:lncRNA from 1 species